AUUGAACGCUGGCGGAAUGCUUUACACAUGCAAGUCGAGCGGCAGCGCGGGGCAACCUGGCGGCGAGCGGCGAACGGGUGAGUAAUACAUCGGAACGUACCCAGUUGUGGGGGAUAGCCCGGCGAAAGCCGGAUUAAUACCGCAUACGACCUGAGGGUGAAAGGGGGGAUCGCAAGACCUCUCGCAGUUGGAGCGGCCGAUGGCGGAUUAGCUAGUUGGUAGGGUAAAGGCCUACCAAGGCGACGAUCCGUAGCUGGUCUGAGAGGACGACCAGCCACACUGGAACUGAGACACGGUCCAGACUCCUACGGGAGGCAGCAGUGGGAAUUUUGGACAAUGGGGGCAACCCUGAUCCAGCAAUGCCGCGUGAGUGAAGAAGGCCUUCGGGUUGUAAAGACUCUUUGUUCAGGAA
rnacentral:rRNA from 1 species